GACGAACGCUGGCGACGUGCUUAACACAUGCAAGUCGAACGGAAAGGCCUUUUCGGAGGUACUCGAGUGGCGAACGGGUGAGUGACACGUGGGUGAUCUGCCCUGCACUCUGGGAUAAGCCUGGGAAACUGGGUCUAAUACCGGAUAGGACCGCACUUUAGUGUGUGUGGUGGAAAGUUUUUUCGGUGUAGGAUGAGCCCGCGGCCUAUCAGCUUGUUGGUGGGGUAAUGGCCUACCAAGGCGGCGACGGGUAGCCGGACUGAGAGGUUGGUCGGCCACAUUGGGACUGAGAUACGGCCCAGACUCCUACGGGAGGCAGCAGUGGGGAAUAUUGCACAAUGGGCGCAAGCCUGAUGCAGCGACGCCGCGUGGGGGAUGACGGCCUUCGGGUUGUAAACUCCUUUCGCCAGGGACGAAGCGUUUUGUGACGGUACCUGGAGAAGAAGCACCGGCUAACUACGUG
rnacentral:rRNA from 1 species